rnacentral:rRNA from 1 species
UACGGAGGAUCCAAGCGUUAUCCGGAUUUAUUGGGUUUAAAGGGUGCGUAGGCGGCCUAUUAAGUCAGGGGUGAAAGACGGUAGCUUAACUAUCGCAGUGCCCUUGAUACUGAUGGGCUUGAGUACACUAGAGGUAGGCGGAAUGUGACAAGUAGCGGUGAAAUGCAUAGAUAUGUCACAGAACACCAAUUGCGAAGGCAGCUUACUAUGGUGCGAUUGACGCUGAGGCACGAAAGCGUGGGGAUCAAACAGG